CCUACGGGACGCAGCAGUGGGGGAUAUUGCACAAUGGGGGCAACCCUGAUGCAGCGACGCCGCGUGAGCGAUGGAGUACUUCGGUAUGUAAAGCUCUGUCAGCAGGGAAGAGAAUGACGGUACCUGACCAAGAAGCCCCGGCUAAAUACGUGCCAGCAGCCGCGGUAAUACGUAGGGGGCAAGCGUUAUCCGGAUUUACUGGGUGUAAAGGGAGCGUAGACGGCGAAGAAAGUCUGAAGUGAAAGCCCGCGGCUCAACCGCGGAAUGGCUUUGGAAACUUUUUUGCUGGAGUACCGGAGAGGUAA
rnacentral:rRNA from 1 species